CAUGCAAGUCGAACGGAAAGGCCCUUCGGGGUACUCGAGUGGCGAACGGGUGAGUAACACGUGGGUGAUCUGCCCUGCACUUUGGGAUAAGCCUGGGAAACUGGGUCUAAUACCGAAUAUGACCAUGCACUUCCUGGUGUGUGGUGGAAAGCUUUUGCGGUGUGGGAUAGGCCCGCGGCCUAUCAGCUUGUUGGUGGGGUAAUGGCCUACCAAGGCGACGACGGGUAGCCGGCCUGAGAGGGUGACCGGCCACACUGGGACUGAGAUACGGCCCAGACUCCUACGGGAGGCAGCAGUGGGGAAUAUUGCACAAUGGGCGCAAGCCUGAUGCAGCGACGCCGCGUGAGGGAUGACGGCCUUCGGGUUGUAAACCUCUUUCAAUAGGGACGAAGCGCAGGUGACGGUACCUAUAGAAGAAGGACCGGCCAACUACGUGCCAGCAGCCGCGGUAAUACGUAGGGUCCGAGCGUUGUCCGGAAUUACUGGGCGUAAAGAGCUCGUAGGUGGUUUGUCGCGUUGUUCGUGAAAACUCAC
rnacentral:rRNA from 1 species